UGCUCAGGACUCCCCAGUUCAGCUCUCAGCAUGGGGUUCCCUGCUCAGCUCCUGGGGCUGCUAAUGCUCUGGGUACCAGGAUCCAGUGGGGAUGUUCUGAUGACCCAGACUCCACUCUCUCUGCCCAUCAACUCUGGAGAGACGGUCUCCAUCUCCUGCAAGUCUAGUCAGAGCCUCCUACACAGUAAUGGAAACACCUAUUUGGAAUGGUUGCAGCAGAAGCCAGGCCAGGCUCCACGGCGCCUGAUAUAUGGGGUGUCUAACAGGGACUCUGGGGUCCCAGACAGGUUCAGUGGCAGUGGGUCAGGGACAGAUUUCACACUCAAAAUCAGCAGGGUGAAGCCUGAGGAUGCUGGAAUUUAUUACUGCAUGCAAGUUACACACGCUCCUCCCACAGUGAUACAGCCCUGA